AUGAACGCUGGCGGCGUGCCUCAUACCUGCAAGUCGAGCGCACAGAUGAGGAGCUUGCUCCUCUGACGUUAGCGGCGGACGGGUGAGUAACACGUGGAUAACCUACCUAUAAGACUGGGAUAACUACGGGAAACCGGAGCUAAUACCGGAUAAUAUAUUGAACCGCAUGGUUCAAUAGUGAAAGACGGUUUUGCUGUCACUUAUAGAUGGAUCCGCGCCGCAUUAGCUAGUUGGUAAGGUAACGGCUUACCAAGGCAACGAUGCGUAGCCGACCUGAGAGGGUGAUCGGCCACACUGGAACUGAGACACGGUCCAGACUCCUACGGGAGGCAGCAGUAGGGAAUCUUCCGCAAUGGGCGAAAGCCUGACGGAGCAACGCCGCGUGAGUGAUGAAGGUCUUCGGAUCGUAAAACUCUGUUAUUAGGGAAGAACAAAUGUGUAAGUAACUAUGCACGUCUUGACGGUACCUAAUCAGAAAGCCACGGCUAACUACGUG
rnacentral:rRNA from 1 species